rnacentral:rRNA from 1 species
CAAAAACAUGUCUUUUUGAUUAUAAUUUAAAGUCUAACCUGCCCAAUGAGGAGUUAAAUGGCCGCGGUAUUUUGACCGUGCAAAGGUAGCAUAAUCAUUAGUUUUUUAAUUGAAAGCUGGUAUGAAUGGUUGGACGAGAAAAUAACUGUCUCGAUUUAAAUUAAAUUAGAAUUUUAUUUAUGAGUAAAAAAGCUCAUAUGAGUUUAAAAGACGAGAAGACCCUAUAGAAUUUAAUAUAUAUAUAUAUAUAUUAUUUUUAGAAUUAAUAAUAAGUUAUAUAUAAUUAUAUUUUGUUGGGGUGAUAGAAAAAUUAAAUUAACUUUUUUUAUAUAAAAACAUUAAUGUAUGAAAAAAUGAUCCGUUGAUUACGAUUAUAAGAUUAAAUUACCUUAGGGAUAACAGCGUAAUUUUUUUUUAGAGUUCUUAUCGAAAAAAGAGUUUGCGACCUCGAUGUUGGAUUAAAAUUAACUUUUGGUGUAGGGGCU